rnacentral:rRNA from 1 species
GAUGAACGCUGGCGGCGUGCUUAAUACAUGCAAGUCGAGCGAACAGAUGAGGAGCUUGCUCCUCCGACGUUAGCGGCGGACGGGUGAGUAACACGUGGAUAACCUACCUAUAAGACUGGGAUAACUUCGGGAAACCGGAGCUAAUACCGGAUAAUAUAUUGAACCGCAUGGUUCAAUAGUGAAAGACGGUUCUGCUGUCACUUAUAGAUGGAUCCGCGCCGCAUUAGCUAGUUGGUAAGGUAACGGCUUACCAAGGCAACGAUGCGUAGCCGACCUGAGAGGGUGAUCGGCCACACUGGAACUGAGACACGGUCCAGACUCCUACGGGAGGCAGCAGUAGGAAAUCUGCCGCAAUGGGCGAAAGCCUGACGGAGCAACGCGGCGUGAGUGAUGAAGGUCUUCGGAUCGUAAGUCUCUGUUAUUAGGGAAGAACAAGUGUGUAAGUAACUAUGCACGGCUUGACGGUACCUAAUCAGAAAGCCACGGCUAACUACGU